GAUGAACGCUGGCGGCGUGCCUAACACAUGCAAGUCGAGCGAUUCUCUUCGGAGAAGAGCGGCGGACGGGUGAGUAACGCGUGGGUAUCCUGCCCUGUACACACGGAUAACAUACCGAAAGGUAUGCUAAUACGAGAUGAUAUAUAAAAGUUGCAUGACUUUCAUAUCAAAGCUUUUGCGGUACAGGAUGGACCCGCGUCUGAUUAGCUAGUUGGUAAGGUAACGGCUUACCAAGGCGACGAUCAGUAGCCGACCUGAGAGGGUGAUCGGCCACACUGGAACUGGGACACGGUCCAGACUCCUACGGGAGGCAGCAGUGGGGAAUAUUGCACAAUGGGCGAAAGCCUGAUGCAGCAACGCCGCGUGAGCGAUGAAGGCCUUCGGGUCGUAAAGCUCUGUCCUCAAGGAAGAUAAUGACGGUACUUGAGGAGGAAGCCCCGGCUAACUACGUGCCAGCCGCCGCCGUAAAAC
rnacentral:rRNA from 1 species